GGAAGCAGCACAAGCACGCCCAAAAGAAAAGAAAAAGAAAAAGAAAAAGAAACAAAUGCCGACGAUGGCAGGUUGACGAAACAAAGAUGGCCAAUGACCGCUGCACCCACCGGAGAAGUACCACCGCGCUUCUAGCACUCCGAGGCGUCGCGUACCGAGCAGCACCUUCAGGAAGGAAUGCGACGACGACGACGUUGCUGCCCAGGCAAGUCCAAGGGUUUCCCCCGGUACGCAGAGGGCAGUGGGGAAGGGGCAGAUCCGACGCCCUUCAGGAAGGUCCGGCGGCGCCCACAGGCGUCACCACGUCGGUGAUGGACAAGCCACCAGGGAUUUCUCCCAACCCAAACAACCACCACCACCCCGGACGAUCGGAAGCGCUCCACCAGAACUGCCGCCCACCAACAUGUGCUACCACAGUCACUAAACCAUCAACGCC
rnacentral:rRNA from 1 species